UACGUAGGGGGCUAGCGUUGUCCGGAAUCAUUGGGCGUAAAGAGCGUGUAGGCGGUCCGGUAAGUCCGCUGUGAAAGUCGGGGGCUCAACCCUCGAAUGCCGGUGGAUACUGUCGGGCUAGAGUGCGGAAGAGGCGAGUGGAAUUCCUGGUGUAGCGGUGAAAUGCGCAGAGUAUCAGGAGGAACACCUAUUGCGAAGGCAGCUCGCUGGGACGUAACUGACGCUGAGACGCGAAAGCGUGGGGAGCAAACAGG
rnacentral:rRNA from 1 species